rnacentral:rRNA from 1 species
UGGGGAAUAUUGGACAAUGGGCGCAAGCCUGAUCCAGCCAUGCCGCGUGAGUGACGAAGGUCUUCGGAUUGUAAAGCUCUUUUUGGCGGGGACGAUAAUGACGGUACCCGCAGAAUAAGCCCCGGCUAACUUCGUGCCAGCAGCCGCGGUAAUACGAAGGGGGCUAGCGUUGUUCGGAAUUACUGGGCGUAAAGCGCACGUAGGCGGACUGAUAAGUCAGGGGUGAAAUCCCGGGGCUCAACCUCGGAACUGCCUUUGAUACUGUUAGUCUCGAGUCCGGAAGAGGUGAGUGGAAUUCCUAGUGUAGAGGUGAAAUUCGUAGAUAUUAGGAAGAACACCAGUGGCGAAGGCGGCUCACUGGUCCGGUACUGACGCUGAGGUGCGAAAGCGUGGGGAGCAAACAGGAUUAGAUACCCGCGUAGUCCCUGAGCGGGCUGGCAAGGCGCAU